rnacentral:rRNA from 1 species
UACUACAAGCGCUAGCUUAAAACCCAAAGGACUUGGCGGUAUCCCACACCCACCUAGAGGAGCCUGUUCUAUAACCGAUAAUCCCCGUUAAACCUCACCACCUCUUGCCAUUACCGUCUAUAUACCGCCGUCGUCAGCUCACCCUAUGAAGGACAAAAAGUAAGCAAAAUGAAUAAAACUCCAAAACGUCAGGUCGAGGUGUAGCAAAUGAAGUGGAAAGAAAUGGGCUACAUUUUUUUACAAAAACAAUACGAACGGUAAACUGAAAAACACCUAAAGGUGGAUUUAGCAGUAAGAGGAGAUCAGAGUACUCUUCUGAAAUUGGCCCUGGGAUAAGCACACACCGCCCGUCACUCUCCUUAAUAAAUAAUUUACUUUUCCAUAAACAUAUUUUCUUAAUAAGAGGAGGCAAGUCGUAACAUGGUAAGUGUACUGGAAAGUGCACUUGGAAUCAAAA